ensembl:miRNA Gm25033 predicted gene, 25033
UGAGCUGUGCUGAGCUGAGCUGAGCUGAGCUGAGCUGUGCUGUGCUGUGCUGAGCUGAGCUGUGCUGUGCUGUGCUGAGCUGAGCUGUGCUGAGCUGUGCUGAGC